GGAAAGAAACUAACAAGGAUUCCCCCAGUAACGGCGAGUGAAGCGGGAACAGCUCAAAUUUGAAAUCUCCGCUGCUUGCAGCGGCGAAUUGUAGUUUCGAGAAACGCUUUCUUGGCGGAUUCGCCCCGUCUAAGUUGCUUGGAACGGCACGUCAUGGAGGGUGACAACCCCGUCUGCGAUGGGGCGGACCGCCUACGAUGCGUUUUCGAAGAGUCGGGUUGUUUGGGAAUGCAGCCCAAAAUGGGUGGUAAACUCCAUCUAAAGCUAAAUACGGGCACGAGACCGAUAGCGAACAAGUACCGUGAGGGAAAGAUGAAAAGAACUUUGAAAAGAGAGUUAAAAAGUACGUGAAACCGUUGAAAGGGAAACGAAUGGAGUUAGCAAUGCACCCUGCAAGAUUCAGCCGGCGGGCGGUGCGGACGGGCGGCGUAGCGGAUCUUCCGUGCACCGCCGCUGCUCGKCUCGUGCCCCUCGCYGUCGCACUUCUUGCUGGUGCGCGUCAACGUCGGUUUGGCCGCCGGUCUCAAGGUGGUGCGGGAAGGUAGGUCGGCAGAGCCUCCACGGUUUGGCCGAUUGUUACAGCCCGCCCUCAGAUGGCCGGGGCCGGACCGAGGCGUCGCAGCGCAUGCCUCUCUUGGCUAGGGUCCCCUGCUGCCGGUCGGCGGUCGAUUGUGGCGGACUGCUUGCAGUGCGCCCGAACUGCUGCCGGUCGCCGGCGGGGAGACUUCGUACCAUGCGCUCAGGACGUUGGCGGUCAUAUGGCUUCAUCCGACCCGUCUUGAAACACGGACCAAGGAGUCUAGCCUGUGCGCAAGUCUUUGGGUGACAGAAACCCUCGGGCGCAAUGAAAGUGAAGGYGGCCCCGGCCGCCGAGGUGAGAACCCUCCCCUCCCGGGGGGG
rnacentral:rRNA from 1 species